rnacentral:snRNA from 1 species
AUCGCUUCUCGGCCUUUUGGCUAAGAUCAAGUGUAGUAUCUAAUGAGUUGGCUCUUCGUAUCAGGUGGCCAAAGUAUUGUAGCUUUGGCAUCAGUCCUUCCAAUGAAUAUUCAGGGUUGAUUUCCUUUAGGAUUGACUGGUUUGACCUCCUUGCAGUUCAAGGAGAUCAGAGAGUCUCU